UACGAGGGGUGCAAGCGUUGUUCGGAAUUACUGGGCGUAAAGCGCGCGUAGGCGGAUUUGCAAGUCGGGGGUGAAAGCCCGAGGCUCAACCUCGGAACUGCCCUCGAUACUGCAAAUCUCGAGUCCGAGAGAGGUGAGUGGAAUUCCUAGUGUAGAGGUGAAAUUCGUAGAUAUUAGGAAGAACACCAGUGGCGAAGGCGGCUCACUGGCUCGGUACUGACGCUGAGGCGCGAAAGCGUGGGGAGCAAACAGG
rnacentral:rRNA from 1 species